UACGAAGGCCACAAGCGUUAUCCGGAUUUAUUGGGCGUAAAGGGCGCGUAGGAGGCUCGGUACGUCUCUGGUUAAAUUUUCCCGCUCAACGGGAAAGCUGCCAGAGAAACCGCCGAGCUUGAGGGCGUUAGAGGCAGAUGGAACACACGGUGUAGGGGUGAAAUCCGUUGAUAUCGUGUGGAACACCAAAGGCGAAGGCAUUCUGCUGGGACGUUCCUGACUCUGAGGCGCGAAAGCGUGGGGAG
rnacentral:rRNA from 1 species